GGCAGAGGGAGAAGGAGAAGCAGGCUCCCCACUGAGCAAGAAGCCCAACGCAGGACUCAAACCCAGGAUGCUGGGAUCACAGCCUGAGCCACCCAGGUGCCCCUAGAUGUCUCAGAUAUAUGUCAAGUAAAAUGUGAGCUCAAACCAAUACAGCCCAGACAGCCAUGGCUGUUUCUGCCUUUCUCGUAUUUAUUUAUUUUUAAAUACCCACAGAGCACUUACUGUACGAUAGGCACAUUCCAAGCCCUUGACAAAUACUGACUCAUCUUUCAUAACAGCCCUAUGAAGUGUAUACUAUUACCAUUUCCAUUUUACAUUUAAGGAAGCAGAAACAGAGACAGUUGAUGUAACUGAUUCAAGAUCACCUAACAGGAAGCCCUGGUCACCCCAAGCCUGGAGGGGCAGAAAGAGAGACCUCUUAUGGGAACCUGAAGGUAUCUAUAGCCCCAGGAGAGUGGCUGCCUGGCCAAAGCUGUGACCAUCCACAGAGGAAGAUGGCCAUAGCCAAAGAGAAGAUAGGACACAAUUAUACACCCAACUCUGAUCCUUGGCUGAGGACUCCCAUUGGCCGAAUCAAACCGGAAGCCAGAAGGAUGACACAGACCGAACUUCCUGAUCCGCACUCCCUGAGCGAGCGGCCCCAUCUCCCCUUUCCCUUUGGUGGCUCUGAGUAUAGCAUGGAGUUAGAAACCAGACUCUGGAUUCCAAAUGCCUGGGUUCAAAGGCUGACCAUCUCCCUCCCAUGGAGCCCCUGGGAUGAUGCCUGGCAACAGUGGCCGCUAUUGACAUGAGCUGUUCAGUACCUGUCCACACACAGAGGUAUUCUGGGCAUGGUCAUUUCCUCCCCUCCUUGGAAGAUGCCAACACUGGUCCUCCCCUAAGGAGGCACCCUGUCUUGAAGCCUCUGUACCCACCCAUUACCCUAUUUGACUGAAUGUCAUCAAUUCAGAACAACUUAAAUAAUUUGUGAACCUCUCAAACAGACUAACAGAAAGGGGAAAACUUUAGAAUGACUGGGGCACAGCCCACUGCUCUAGUCUGAUGAAAAUAGUGCUGGAGGGAGAGAUGACCUGGUGACAUCAGGUUUCAACAUCAUGGCAGGACCAAUCUCGCAUCAGUUAAAUAGGAAAUCAUCCCAUUCUGUAGUGACAAGAGAGAGAAGUAAUGGCUACAGAACACAAACAUAUAUAAAACCAAGAGCCUCACAAAAUGCAUGUAAUGGGCAGAACCUAUUUCAGUUAUAUAUUCCACCAGUUUCAGUUCCCUACAACCUAACAUCCCUAUACAAUGAAAUUACGAUGUAACAUUUGUGCAUAAAGAGGGCAUGUAACUGCAGAGCUGCAAGGGUUCACCCCAAGUGCCCAGACCUGAAGUCUUGGUGUCAGGGCAUGGUAUGCAUCAGGAGGAACAUUCUAGAUUGACGAGGAGGCUGAGAUAUGGAGACAGACAUUCAGGUCCACAUACUAUGUGCCAGGUGCUGAAUGGACAGCCCCUCAUUUACUCAUCACCAAAUCUAUGAUGUACAAAUAGCUUUCAGGAAACCAUCUGUGCCUGGGAUGGAGCCUGGACUUCGCCACUUUCCAGCUGUGUGAUUUUUAGGAAAGUUGUACAACCCAUCUGAGCCUGGGAAGAAUAAAGGGGCCAACAUACAUAAAACACCCUGUACAUAAUAAGUGUCUAAUUGAUGUGAUUUUUUUUCCCUCCUCUUGAUUCUAUUAGUGUUUUUCAACUCUGGCUGUACAUAGCAACCACUGGAGGAGCUUUAAAAAAAUUCUUGCCUGAGCCCUUCCUCC
ensembl:lincRNA